ensembl:lncRNA
AUUAUUGUAGAAGAGGACAAAAAAAAAUAAUCUUCACGUUUUCGAAAUAUUUUUAACGUAUUUAUAAAAUAAUUAUAAUGUUAUAUAUAUAUAUAUAUAUAUAUAUUUUUUUUUUUUUUUACAUGUACUAUUUUUUUUUUUUAUUUUUUGAUCGUUUGAUAAAAAAAAAUUCGCUAUUGAUAAUUACAAAUAGUUUAAAACAUGAUAUUUAAUUGUUAUUUCAAUUUUGCAUUUAAAAAUAUAAAGUGAUGAGAGAAAAAAUAAUAAAUUAUAAAAAAAAAUGAAAGGAAAAAAAAAAAAAAAAAUAGGNNNNNNNNNNNNNNNNNNNNNNNNNNNNNNNNNNNNNNNNNNNNNNNNNNNNNNNNNNNNNNNNNNNNNNNNNNNNNNNNNNNNNNNNNNNNNNNNNNNNCUUCUGUUUUAAUUUUUAAUGGUAAAAUAAAUUUGAUGUUCGAAUUAGUUGGAAGUAAUUUUAAAAGAAGAAGAAAACACAAAAAAAAAAAAAAAAAAAAAAAAAAAAAAAAAAAAAAAAAAAAAAAAUAAAGGUGUUGUAAAUAUGUACGAUAAUGUAUAAUAUAUAAACAUAUAUAUAACCCCCUUUCUCAUUUUGUGAUUUUUUUUUUUUUUUUUUUUUGUACAUAUAUACAUGCGUGAGGAACAGUAUGCAACAUAUCGAUGAUGAACGUUAUACAUAGUUAUAAUAACUCAUUUUGUCAUCAUACGUUAAAGACGUAUGAAAGAAAACAUGAAGUAAGAGUACACGAAUUAAAUGAAGAAAAUUGUUUAAUAAGUAUUAAUAAACAAUUGUUAAUAAAAACAAUAGUUUUAGAAUGUUUAUUAAUAGAACAUGUAAAAAACUUAAAGAUAGUAGAGCUAAAACGAAAAGGUCUAACGUGCAUGUGUCACAGUCACAAUAUUAAUAUUCAUGAUAAUAGUUUAUACAUAUGUAUAAAAAAAAAGAAAACAGUAAAGCUAUGUAUGCUAUAAUAAACCCAGUCAAUUAUAAUAUAUUACGUAAUCACCAAUAUAUAAAGUAUGAAAAUAACAAUAAUUCAUCAUGUAGAGUAUAUAUAAUUGUUUUACAUGAAAAAGAUACAUGUGAUUGUCACAUAGACGAUAAUAUAAUAAUUUUAAAAACAAUAAAUAAAAUAAUAUGUGAAACAACAAGUAAAAAUAUGACGAACAAAACUGAAGACAGUAUUAACGAAACAAGUAAUAACAAAACGAUUGAGAGUAAAUAUCGUAGUAAUAAUAGGGAUAGUAAGGGUAAAUGGAAUAUAAAUUAUAAUAUUAUAGUACAUGUAAAAGAACAAGAUAUACAACAAUGGAACAUGUAUGAAAAUAAUUUGUUGGAAGAAGCAGAAGUAAAGUUAAUUAAUGAUAAGCAUAAAGAGAAUAUGUCUAAACUAUGUACGAAUAAAAAAUCGUUUGAGAACUGUUAUGAUGAAAAUUAUUUCAAUCAACAUACUAUAUUUGAUAGUAUAUACUGUAUAAAUAACAAUUACUCAACUUUUAAUACUAUAACAGAGAGAAAUAUAUUCAAAUUCACAAUUUUUUUGAUGAAUAUUCAAAUGAGUGAACUUUUGUUAUGUUACGUUUUUAUAAUUGUAAAACUAAUGAUAAAAAAUAAAUUUUUUGAUGUUGAUUUAUCAAAUUUGGACAAUAGUACCAAUUAUUUGAAUAACAAGAAGAACAUGUUUUUAUUAUUGACAUUAUUAUUAUUUUCAUUAUCUUUAGUUUAUAACAGAGGUCACUACAAUGGAUUAUCGAAUAAUAAAAUUUUAAAUAAAAAAAAAAUAUAUAUCAUUAACAAGGUGCAGCUUUAUUACAAACAACAGUAUAAUUCGGUGCAUACAUAUGAUAGUGAAGUAGAGCGUACUAAUAAUUUUGAAUAUAUUAAAACACUACUAAGAUAUGAUAAAAAAAAAUAUAUAUAUACAUUUUUACAAUUAUUUUUGUUAUUAUUUUAUAAAAUUUUAACAAUCACUUUCAUUGUUUUGCUAAAAAGUGUAUUACCGUUAAUAUUAAAUGCCUAUUGUAAAUUUAAAGAUUUCAUAUUAGCAAUUUUUUUUAUAAUGAAUGAGUAUUUAUAUAAAAUAAUACUUUUAAGUUAUGUUGUGAAAUAUAUUGUACAUUUUACUUAUUUUUGGUAUUUAAGUCCAAAUUUUAAUAAUAGUGUGAAUAUGAUAGGUAUGUAUUCAAAGGGAGGUUUUUUAUGUGCAUAUAACAAACCACAUCAAUCAGAUGGUAGUAUUGGAAGUAUGAGCAAUAGCAAAAGUAAUAGUAAUGUCAUUGGUAUUUUUAAAAAUCAUAAUAAAAUUUAUACUUUUAUUGAAAAAAUAAAAAUGUUCAAUAAAUUAAUUUUUAUACAAGUUCAUAAAGGCAGUACAAUGUGCCAUAAUAUAAUUUCUACCAUCUAUUUAAGAAAUAUAAUGUUAAGAGUUUAUUAUUCGGAUAAGUGUUUAAUGGACUCGAACGGUGGAGAACACAGUAAUCCUAUGUUAUGUAACUUUUGGGGUUAUAACAACAUAGAUAUUUUAAAAAAUAGAGAUGCUUAUAACAAAUAUGUUGACAGUAGUAAUGGUAAUAGUAAAAAAAGCGGUAAUGAAGACGGCGAUAACAACAGCGGUAAUGACGACGGCGAUAACAACGGCGGUAAUGAUGGUGGGAAUAACAACAACGGUGGUAACAACAAUGGUGGUAACAACAAUGGUGAUAACAACAAUGGUGGUAACAACAAUGACGGUAACAACAACAGUGGUAACGAUAAUAGCGGUAACGCUAGUGGUAGUAACAGUAAUAAUAAUGAUGAAGGUGAUAAGAAUAACGAUAAGGAUAAUAUAAAUCAUAAACAAACUGAAAAACAAGAUGAAGAAGAAGAGAGGGAAGAAGAGAACGAAGAAAAAAAUGAAAACGAAAUUAACGAUAGUGGUAGUAAAAAUGUAACACGUGAAAACAUAAAUAGUGACAAUAGUAGUAACAGAAUAAGUCACAAUAACAACAAUUUAAAACAUGUAACGCUUAUACAAAACUUACCUGAAACGAAAAUAAAUAACAUGAAUAAUAUAUACAAAGACAAUGAUGAUAAUAAUAGUAAUUCCAAUGGCAGUAUCAAUGGUACUGUAAAUGCAAAUAACAACAACAAUAUAAUUAAUAAAGAUUUUGACAUUAUUCCUGGUAAUAAGGGUAUUGUCAAAGACAACCUAAAUACCAUAACUUAUGCUUGUGCAAAUGAUAGUAAUAAUAAAUUAAACUUAUUAAAUAUAAAUGGACUAAAUCAGAUAAUGAAUAAAGAUAUACAUAUGGAUAUAAGUAGUAAUGCUGGUCAUGUUAAUAGUAAGAAUAAUGCAAAAAGUAAUAUACCUAACACAUCACAUGGGGAAGCAGUAGUUAAUAAUAACACCAACAAUAUUAGCAAUAAUAGUAAUGUACAAAUAAAUAAAUUAUUAAAUAUAAAUAAUGCAUACAUGGUAGCAGCAGAAAAUUCAGGUGCGCUUAUUGAAGGAACACAUAACAGUAAAAUAAAUUGUGUUUCACCUGAUAAUGCAACAUACGAAUUGAAACACCCAACACAAGGUUUAAAAUACAAACAAAACCAACUUAUAUUUGCUCCAAAUAAAAUAAAUAGCAUACAACCAAAUACAAAUAUACAAAUGAAUAAUAUACAAAUGAAUAAUAGUAACAAUACAUCGAACCCAAUACAGCUACAUCAACCGAACCUGAUACAACCGAACCAGAUACAACCGAA